GCCCGUCUAGCUCAGUCGGUACAGCACGAGACUCUUAAUCUCGGAGUCGUGGGUUUCGAGCCGCGUUGGGCG